GAUGAACGCUGGCGGUCUGCUUAACACAUGCAAGUCGAACGGAAAUCUUCGGAUUUUAGUGGCGGACGGGAGUAACGCGUGAGAAUCUAGCUUCAGAAUGGGGACAACAGAGGGAAACCGCUGCUAAUACCCGAUGUGCCGAAAGGUGAAAGAUUUAUCGUCUGAAGAAGAGCUCGCGUCCGAUUAGCUAGUUGGUAGGGUAAAAGCCUACCAAGGCGACGAUCGGUAGCUGGUCUGAGAGGAUGACCAGCCACACUGGGACUGAGACACGGCCCAGACUCCUACGGGAGGCAGCAGUGGGGAAUUUUCCGCAAUGGGCGAAAGCCUGACGGAGCAAGACCGCGUGAGGGAGGAAGGCUCUUGGGUUGUAAACCUCUUUUCUCUGGGAAGAAAAAAAUGACGGUACCAGAGGAAUCAGCAUCGGCUAACUCCGUGCCAGCAGCCGCGGUAAUACGGAGGAUGCAAGCGUUAUCCGGAAUUAUUGGGCGUAAAGCGUCCGUAGGUGGCAAUUCAAGUCUGCCGUUAAAACCAGUGGCUUAACCACUGACAGGCGGUGGAAACUGAAUAGCUAGAGUGUGGUAGGGGUAGAGGGAAUUCCCAGUGUAGCGGUGAAAUGCGUAGAGAUUGGGAAGAACACCGGUGGCGAAAGCGCUCUGCUGGACCACAACUGACACUCACAGGACGAAAGCUAGGGGAGCGAAAGGGAUUAGAUACCCCUGUAGUCCUAGCCGUAAACGAUGGAUACUAGGUGUUGUGAG
rnacentral:rRNA from 1 species